AUAAACCAAGUCCAAAACCACAGCCAACCGACCGCCAGAGAACUACAAGUAAAAAACUUAAAACUCAAAGGACUUGACGGUGUCCCAUAUCCCCCUAGAGGAGCCUGUCCUAUAAUCGAUAACCCACGCUCUACCUCACCUGUCCUAGCACAUUCUACCUCAGCCUAUAUACCGCCGCCUCCAGCCCACCUUGCAAAAGAAUUCAUAGUGGGCAAGCCAGUACACCACUUUAACGCCAGGUCAAGGUGUAGCUAAUGAACAGGCAGAGAUGGGCUACAUUUUCUUGAACAAAAGAAAACACCAACAGCAACAUGAAACUACGCCAAAAGGCGGAUUUAGCAGUAAGCCGCGCAAGAUCAGCCCGCCUGAAGAAAG
rnacentral:rRNA from 1 species